AACGAACGCUGGCGGCAGGCUUAACACAUGCAAGUCGAACGCCCCGCAAGGGGAGUGGCAGACGGGUGAGUAACGCGUGGGAACAUACCCUUUCCUGCGGAAUAGCUCUGGGAAACUGGAAUUAAUACCGCAUACGCCCUACGGGGGAAAGAUUUAUCGGGGAAGGAUUGGCCCGCGUUGGAUUAGCUAGUUGGUGGGGUCAAGGCCUACCAAGGCGACGAUCCUUAGCUGGUCUGAGAGGAUGAUCAGCCACAUUGGGACUGAGACACGGCCCAAACUCCUCCGGGAGGCAGCAGUGGGGAAUAUUGGACAAUGUGCGCAAGCCUGACCCAGCCAUGCCGCGUGAGUGAUGAAGGCCUUAGGGUUGUAAAGCUCUUUCCCCGAUGAAGAUAAUGACGGUAGUCGGAGAAGAAGCCCCGGCUAACUUCGUGCCAGCCGCCGCCGUAACAC
rnacentral:rRNA from 1 species